rnacentral:rRNA from 1 species
AGCGAACGCUGGCGGCAGGGCUUAACACAUGCAAGUCGAACGCCCGGGCAACCGGGAGUGGCAGACGGGUGAGUAACACGUGGGAACGUACCCUUUGGUUCGGAAUAACUCAGGGAAACUUGAGCUAAUACCGGAUAAGCCCUUACGGGGAAAGAUUUAUCGCCGAAGGAUCGGCCCGCGUCCGAUUAGCUAGUUGGUGAGGUAACGGCUCACCAAGGCGACGAUCGGUAGCUGGUCUGAGAGGAUGAUCAGCCACACUGGGACUGAGACACGGCCCAGACUCCUACGGGAGGCAGCAGUGGGGAAUAUUGGACAAUGGGGGCAACCCUGAUCCAGCCAUGCCGCGUGAGUGAUGAAGGCCCUAGGGUUGUAAAGCUCUUUCGGCGGGGACGAUAAUGACGGUACCCGCAGAAGAAGCCCCGGCUAACUUCGUG